rnacentral:rRNA from 1 species
UACGGGGGGGGCAAGCGUUGUUCGGAAUUACUGGGCGUAAAGGGCGCGUAGGCGGUGCUCUAAGUCGGAUGUGAAAACUCUGGGCUCAACCCAGAGCCUGCAUCCGAAACUGGAGUGCUAGAGUUCUGGAGGGGGUAGCGGAAUUCCUGGUGUAGCGGUGAAAUGCGUAGAUAUCUGGAGGAACACCGGUGGCGAAGGCGGCGUCCUGGACCAACACUGACACUGAGGAGCGAAAGCCAGGGGAGCAAACGGG